rnacentral:ncRNA from 1 species
GUGUUGUAUGAAAGGAGAGAAGUUAGCACUCCCCUCCACAAGGAUGGAAGAGGCCCUUGGGCCUGACAACACACACACGGUUAAAGCGCUGCCACUUACUUUGUGGCAUCUAACCAUCAUCGUUU